rnacentral:rRNA from 1 species
UACGGAGGGAGCUAGCGUUGUUCGGAAUUACUGGGCGUAAAGCGCGCGUAGGCGGCUUUGUAAGUUAGAGGUGAAAGCCCGGGGCUCAACCCCGGAAUUGCCUUUAAGACUGCAUCGCUAGAAUCCGGGAGAGGUGAGUGGAAUUCCGAGUGUAGAGGUGAAAUUCGUAGAUAUUCGGAAGAACACCAGUGGCGAAGGCGGCUCGCUGGACCGGUAUUGACGCUGAGGUGCGAAAGCGCGGGGAGCAAACAGG